GUAGGUGGCAAGCGUUGUCGGGAAUUAUUGGGCGUAAAGCGCGCGCAGGCGGUUCUUUAAGUCUGAUGUGAAAGCCCACGGCUCAACCGUGGAGGGUCAUUGGAAACUGGAGAACUUGAGUACAGAAGAGGAAAGCGGAAUUCCACGUGUAGCGGUGAAAUGCGUAGAGAUGUGGAGGAACACCAGUGGCGAAGGCGGCUUUCUGGUCUGUAACUGACGCUGAGGCGCGAAAGCGUGGGGAGCAAACAGGGAUUAGAUACCCUGGUAGUCCACGCCGUAAACGAUGAGUGCUAAGUGUUAGGGGGUUUCCGCCCCCUUAGUGCUGCAGCUAACGCAUUAAGCACUCCGCCUGGGGAUACGGCCGCAAGGCUG
rnacentral:rRNA from 1 species